rnacentral:rRNA from 1 species
GCCAGCAGCCAUAUCGCCCUGCAGCCCAAGACUGGUUGCCCACUGAAGCUAAGCAGGGUUGAGUCUGGUCAGUACCUGGAUGGGAGACCUCCUGGGGAAAACUAGGUUGCUGCUGGAA